rnacentral:rRNA from 1 species
AACGAACGCUGGCGGCAGGCCUAACACAUGCAAGUCGAACGCUCCGCAAGGGAGUGGCGCACGGGUGAGUAACACGUGGGAACCUACCUUCUGGUACGGAACAACCAAGGGAAACUCUGGCUGAUACCGUAUACGACCUCCGGGUGAAAGAUUGAUCGCCGGAAGAGGGGCCCGCGUCCGAUUAGGUAGUUGGUGAGGUAACGGCUCACCAAGCCUGCGAUCGGUAGCUGGUCUGAGAGGANGACCAGCCACACUGGGACUGAGACACGGCCCAGACUCCUACGGGAGGCAGCAGUGGGGAAUAUUGGACAAUGGGCGCAAGCCUGAUCCAGCCAUGCCGCGUGAGUGAUGAAGGCCUUCGGUUGUAA